rnacentral:rRNA from 1 species
AUUGAACGCUGGCGGCAGGCUUAACACAUGCAAGUCGAGCGGAGAUGAGGUGCUUGCACCUUAUCUUAGCGGCGGACGGGUGAGUAAUGCUUAGGAAUCUGCCUAUUAGUGGGGGACAACAUUCCGAAAGGAAUGCUAAUACCGCAUACGCCCUACGGGGGAAAGCAGGGGAUCUUCGGACCUUGCGCUAAUAGAUGAGCCUAAGUCGGAUUAGCUAGUUGGUGGGGUAAAGGCCUACCAAGGCGACGAUCUGUAGCGGGUCUGAGAGGAUGAUCCGCCACACUGGGACUGAGACACGGCCCAGACUCCUACGGGAGGCAGCAGUGGGGAAUAUUGGACAAUGGGCGGAAGCCUGAUCCAGCCAUGCCGCGUGUGUGAAGAAGGCCUUUUGGUUGUAAAGCACUUUAAGUUGGGAGGAAGGGCAGUAAGUUAAUACCUUGCUGUUUUGACGUUACCGACAGAAUAAGCACCGGCUAACUUCGUGCCAGCCGCCGCAGUAA